GCAAAAUAUGUGCAAGGUUCAACACUAUCUGUGGUUUCAGGACUCUACUGAGGGUCUUGGAAUGAACCUCUGGAUAAGAGAAGAGUAGUGUAUAUUCUGCUGUUGUUAAUUAUAAUGUGCUUGAAAUUUCAUUGACUAUUAAGAGAGAAGACCCAAAUAAGUAAAGUCAGAUAUGAAAAAGGAGACAUUACAACUGAUACCACAGAAAUUCAAAUAAUUAUUAGAGGAUACUGUGAGCAACUAUAUGCCAAUAAAUUCGUACAUCUAGAAGAAAUAACAAAUUAUUAGGCUCAUACAACCUAUCAAGAUUAAACCAUGAAGAAUUCCAAAAUCUGAACAGACCAAUGAUGAGCAAUGAGAUAGAAGCCAUAAUGAAAAGUCUCCCAGUAAAGAAAAGCCCAGGACCUAGUGGCUUCACUGCUGAAUUCUACCAAACAUUUAAAGAGAUCUAAUGGCAAUCCUACUUGAACUGUUCCAAAAAAAUAGAAGAGAAGGGAAUACUUCCAAACUCAUUCUAUGAGGCCAGUAUUACCCUGAUACCAAAACCAGAUGAGGACACAUCCGAAAAAGAAAACCACAGGCCAAUAUCUUUGAUUAAUGUUGAUGCAAAGAUCCUCAACAAAACACUGGCAACCAAAAUUCAACAAUACAUUAAAAAAAUCAUUCAUAUGACGAAGUGGGAUUUAUCCUGGGGAUGCAAGGAUGGUUCAACAUAUGUAAAUCAAUCAGCAUGAUACAUCAUAUCAACAGAAUGAAGGACAAAAACCAUAUGAUCAUUUCAGUUGAUGACAAGAAGGCAUUUGAUAAAGUUUAACAUUUCUUUAUGAUAAAAAUCCUCAAAAAACUGGGUGUAGAAGAGGCAAACUUCAACAUGAUAAAAGCCAUAUAUGACAGACUAACAGUCUCAUACUGAGUGGGGAAAAGUGAAAACAUUUCCUCUAAACUCUGGAACAUAACAAGGAUGUUCGCUUUCACCACUGUUAUUCAACAUAGUACUCGAAGUCCUAGCUCAAGCAAUCAGAUAUGAGAAAGAAAUAAAUGACACCCAAACUGGAAAGGAAGACAUCAAAUUAUUCUUGUUUACAGAUGAUAUGAUUUUUUAUUUGGAAAAACCUAAAGACUCCACCAAAAAUCUAUUCGAGCUGAUAAAUUCAGUAAAGUUACAGGAUACAAAGUCAACAUGCAAAAAUCAGUAGCAUUUCUAUAUGCCAACAGUGGACAAUCUGAAAAAGAAAUCAAGAAAGUAAUCCCAUUUACAAUAGCUACAAAUAAAAUUAAUGCACUAGGAAUUAACAAAAGAAGUAGAAGACCUCCACAAUGAAACCUAUAAAACACUGAUGAAAGAAAUUGAAGAGGCUUUCUCUCUUGAUGGGAGAGUGUCUGGCUUCGCAUCCCUGAUGUGGCUCUGCAGUUGGAGUCCUCCUUGUGGAGCAGAACAAGGCCAGGUAGCCCCUGCUCCAGUCACACAUUGCCAUGGCUGUGGUUCCCAAGCCAUUGCAGCAGCAGGAGGAGGACUGCAGCAAGCUGAGAUCUGUAUCUCUGCACCUGAAUGUUGAUCCCUCCCUCCAGAUUGACAUACCUGAUGUGCUCCGUGAGAGGGAUAAAGUCAAAUUUACAGUGCACACAAAGACCACACUGCCCACGUGUCAGAGCCCAGAGUUUUCUGUUAGAAGGCAACAUGAAGACUUUGUGUGGCUACAUGGCACUCUUAUCGAACAGACUAUGCUGGGCUUAUUAUUCCGCCUGGGCCUACGAAGCCCAACUUCCAUGGUCCUCGAGAGAAGAUGCAGAAACAGGGAGAAGGUGGAGGGUCUGUGACCAAAGAAGAGUUUGCCAAGAUGAAACCAAAACUGGAAGCUGAGUAUCUCACUGUUUUUCCAAAGACUGUGUCCUCCCAUGAAGUCUUUCUUCAGCAGCUUUCUUCUCACCCUGUUCUCAGUAAAGGUCGCAACUUUCAUGUUUUCCUGGAAUACGAUCAGAAUCUAAGUGUUAGGAGGAAAAAUGCUAAGGAGAUAUUUGGUGGCUUCUUCAAAAGUGUGGUGAAAAGUGCUGAUGAAGCCCUUUUUGCUGGAGUUAAGGAAGUAGAUGACUUCUUUGAGCAAGAGAACAACUUCCUUAUUAACUAUCAUAAUAGGAUCAAAGAUUCUUGUGUGAAAGCUGACAAAAUGACCAGAUCUCAUAAAAAUGUUGCUGAUGACUGAACGUACACUGCAGCCUGCUUAUAUAACCUGGCCUUAGGAAAGCCCACAGUCAUCAAAAAGUACCUUUUGAAGGUUGCUGAGGUAUUUGAAAAACUUAGGAAAGUAGAGGGUCAAGUCUCAUCAGAUGAAGAUUUAACGCUAACAGAGCUCCUCUGAUACUACAUGCUCAGCAUCAAAGCUGCCAAGGCUCUCUUAUACAGAUGCACCAAAGCCCUCAUUGACUGUGAGAACUCAAACAAAGCUCUGGGUAAGACCCGGUUAAAGAGCAAAGAUGUCAAGUUGGUUGAGGCACACCAGCAGGAGUGCUGCCAGAAAUUUGAACAGCUUUCUGAAUCUGCAAAAGAAGAACUAAUAAAUUCAAAUGGAAGAGAGUGGCAGCAUUUAGAAAGAAUUUAAUUGAAAUGUCUGAACUGGAAAUAAAACAUGCCAGGAACAGUGUCUCCCUUUUGCAGAAUUGUAUUGACUUGUUCAAGAAUAACUGAUAUGCCUUCACUCUGAAGAAAAGAAAUGAAUAUGAAAGAAAACCAAACAUCACUUGCACUUAAAUCAUUACCAUGGAAGAUUUAUUAGCUUCAACUUUAGUUUAAAAUUAUGUGAAUAAAUAUUUUGAUUUCUACAAAUGUUAACAUUUAACAAUGUUGGUUUAAAAAUAUUAUUGCUUGCUACUUGGACGUAACUAGUUUUUCCUUGUGCAUGUAAUAGCUCUGGGCAGAAUCUAAACACAGAGUUCUCCUAUAGUUUGUCUUUAGUUACUAAGAAAGGGUGUAGGAGACAUGUGCCCUCUGGAAACAAGUAGAAGCAAUUACUGGGCACACGUCCCUACAAACCCAUGAAUGUCAGGGAGGUGCCAGUUACAGCAGGUGAUUCAGCUACUUGAGGCAGGUAACAGACCUUCCAUUCCUCACUGAAGGUGGGGUUUAUGUUUUUGUUUUGCCCCGGUUACUCUCCUGGUAGUUAUCUGGUAUUUGUACUAUAACAACAGCAAGAAAAUCUCAUUUACCUUUAUAUACUCUGUGGACCUCCUUUUUUUAGUUAAGUUAGAAAUAUUUGAGGGGAGAGAAGUGUCUACGGGUAUAUAUGGAAACAAAUAAUGUGGUCUACUUUAUAAGAUGGCCAGAUCUACAUUAGGAAAGAUGUGAGCUCCCUCCCUAGUGGCCAUGGUGGGUGGAGGGACGAUGUAUGUUUUUGGGCAUUUGUUUUUCAUAAAGUAUAUGAUAAAAUAAUCAUGCUGCUAAAAAAAAAGAAAUUGAAGAGGAUACCAAAAAAUGGAAAAACAGCCUAUGUUCAUAGAUUGGAAGAAUCAAUAUUGUUAAGAUGCCCACACUACUCAAAGCAAUCUACAGAUUCAACUCAAUCCUUAUAAAAAUAUCUAUUAUCUGCUUCACAAAAAUAGAAAAAAUAAUCCUAAAAUUUAUAUAGAAUCACAAAAGACCCAGAAUAGCCAAAGUUUUCCUGAGCAAAAACAACAAAACUAAAGGAAUCGCAUUACCUGACCUCAAAUUAUUCUGUUCAUCUAUAGUAACCAAAACAGCCAAGUACUAGCAUAAAAAGCAGGCACAUAGAUCAAUGGGAUAGAAUAGAGAACCCAAAAACAAAUCCACACAAUUAGAGUGAACUCAUUUUUUUACAAAGGUGCCAAGAAUAUACAUUGGGAAAAAGUUUCUUCAAUAAAUGGUGCUGGGAAAGCUGGAUAUUCAUAUGCAGAAUAAUGAAACUAGACCCUUAUCUUUCCCCAUAUACAAAAAAUUAAAUCACAAUGGAUUAAGACUUGAGUAUAAGACAUCAAACUAUGAAAUUGCUAAAAGAAAGCAAGCAUUGGGGAACUCUCCAAGACACAGGACUGGGCAGAGAUUUCAUGAGUAAUACCCUACAAGAACAGUCAACCGAAGCAAAAAUGGACAAAUGGGAUCACAUCAAGUUAAAAAGCUUCUGCACAGCAAAGGAAACAAUCAAAGUGAAGAGACAACCCACAGAACCCCAGAAUGGGAGAAAGUAUUUAUAAACUAUCCAUAUGACAAGGCAUU